UGGGGAAUAUUGCACAAUGGGCGCAAGCCUGAUGCAGCCAUGCCGCGUGUGUGAAGAAGGCCUUCGGUUGUAAAGCACUUUCAGCGAGGAGGAAGGUGGUGAACUUAAUACGUUCAUCAAUUGACGUUACUCGCAGAAGAAGCACCGGCUAACUCCGUGCCAGCAGCCGCGGUAAUACGGAGGGUGCAAGCGUUAAUCGGAAUUACUGGGCGUAAAGCGCACGCAGGCGGUUUGUUAAGUCAGAUGUGAAAUCCCCGGGCUCAACCUGGGAACUGCAUUUGAAACUGGCAAGCUAGAGUCUCGUAGAGGGGGGUAGAAUUCCAGGUGGUAGCGGUGAAAUGCGUAGAGAUCUGGAGGAAUACCGGUGGCGAAGGCGGCCCCCUGGACGAAGACUGACCGCUCAGGUGCGAAAGCGUGGGGAGCAAACAGGAUUAGAUAACCCUGGUAGUCCACGCUGUAAACGAUGUCGAAUUUGGAGGUUGUGCCCUUGAGGCGUGGCUUCCGGAGCUAACGCGUUAAAUCGACCGCCUGGGGAGUACGGCCGCAAGGUUAAAACUC
rnacentral:rRNA from 1 species